rnacentral:rRNA from 1 species
ACUCCUACGGGAGGCAGCAGUGAGGAAUAUUGGACAAUGGGCGCAAGCCUGAUCCAGCCAUGCCGCGUGCAGGAAGACUGCCCUAUGGGUUGUAAACUGCUUUUAUACGGGAAGAAACACCCCGCUCGUGAGGGGGCUUGACGGUACCCGUUAAGAAUAAGGAUCGGCUAACUCCGUGCCAGCAGCCGGCGGUAAUACGGAGGAUCCAAGCGUUAUCCGGAAUCAUUGGGUUUAAAGGGUCCGUAGGUGGAUUGGUAAGUCAGAGGUGAAAGCCUGCAGCUCAACUGUAGAACUGCCUUUGAUACGCUAGAUCGUUGAGUCGUUGUGAAGUGUUAGAAGG